UACGUAGGGUGCAAGCGUUGUCCGGAAUUAUUGGGCGUAAAGAGCUCGUAGGCGGUCUGUUGCGUCGGCUGUGAAAACCCGGGGCUCAACCCCGGGCCUGCAGCCGAUACGGGCAGACUAGAGUUCGGCAGGGGAGACUGGAAUUCCUGGUGUAGCGGUGAAAUGCGCAGAUAUCAGGAGGAACACCGGUGGCGAAGGCGGGUCUCUGGGCCGUAACUGACGCUGAGGAGCGAAAGCAUGGGGAGCGAACAGG
rnacentral:rRNA from 1 species